GUAGGGUGGAUGGUGGACGCAGCCUCCAAUAUGGCCGCAAUGGUCGGCAGGUCCACCCCAGCCUCCAGGAUCGCAUCAUGAUCAGCAACCCCGGAGCCCGCCGCAGUCGUGGGACGAGACGGGGAGGCACCCUGGCCCGGGGAGUCCUCACCCUUCGUCGAGCUGGAGGAGCCUAUGCAGCUGUGAGCCUGGCAGCGGUGGUGGUCAGCAUCGUCACCAGCAUCACCAUCUCGGUCGGGGUCAGUAUCCCCCUCAGUUGAAGCAGGCAUGGUAGUAGGGGGUCGUCCUAGACCGAGAUGCGGAGAUCGUAACAGGCGUUGUGAAGUAGAAGCGCAGCAUGGUCAGGAGCUUGGACGAAUCGGGGCACUUGACCCUAGCACGGAUUGCCGUGCCACGGAGGAGGGAAGCCGCGUCAACCUCCAUGAUCUUGCCCAGGAGCCGGGACAUGCUGCAAAUGACCCUCUCCUUCCUGGCAAUAGGAGGAAGCCCACAGAUCUGAAUCCAGACGGGGGCUAGAACGGCUACAGCCAUGGGGUCUACUGUGGGCACCAAGAUGUUAACCUGGAGCUUGUUGAGGGCAAGAGUGAGCUCGGCGUUGUGAGUGUCGUAGCGGAGACUAACCGGACGGGGACGACGGUCGUGAACUCGUGAGCCGAGAUCGGGUCACCUCCCAAUCCCAGUGAGCGCGGAAGAGGUGACGGAGCUCAUCAGUGAUGAUCCCAGGGGAAAGCCGUCUUGCCACCCAGGAUCGAGAUGUGAGCCGGCAGAGAUGGAGGGGCCAUUGCGCCCGAACCGAGCAGGAGAGCAGGAUUGGCGCGGGUACCGACGUUCACGGUCACGCUCGCGUCCGCGCCAGUGCUUAGG
rnacentral:lncRNA from 1 species